AGUCUUGGUUUUCUAA
rnacentral:tRNA from 1 species